CACGUUCUCGUACGAUCACCGAAAUUAAGCAAUGUCGAGCCUGGUCAGUACCUCGAUGGGUGAUCCCUUGGGAAUACCAGGUGCUGUAA